GAUGAACGCUGGCGGCGUGCCUAAUACAUGCAAGUCGAGCGAACGGACGAGAAGCUUGCUUCUCUGAUGUUAGCGGCGGACGGGUGAGUAACACGUGGAUAACCUACCUAUAAGACUUGGAUAACUUCGGGAAACCGGAGCUAAUACCGGAUGAUAUUUUGAACCGCAUGGUUCAAAAGUGAAAGACGGUCUUGCUGUCACUUAUAGAUGGAUCCGCGCUGCAUUAGCUAGUUGGUAAGGUAAUGGCUUACCAAGGCAACGAUGCAUAGCCGACCUGAGAGGGUGAUCGGCCACACUGGAAGGGAGACACGGUCCAGACUCCUACGGGAGGCAGCAGGAGGGAAUCUUCCGCAAUGGGCGAAAGCCUGACGGAGCAAAGCCGCGUGAGUGAUGAAGGUCUUCGGAUCGUAAAACUCUGUUAUUAGGGAAGAACAUAUGUGUAAGUAACUGUGCACAUCUUGACGGUAACUAAUCAGAAAGCCACGGCUAAAUACGUGC
rnacentral:rRNA from 1 species